rnacentral:rRNA from 1 species
GAACCCCUUCGGGGGGGAUCAGUGGCGAACGGGUGAGUAACACGUGAGCAACCUGCCCCUGGCUCUGGGACAACCACUGGAAACGGUGGCUAAUACCGGAUACGACUCAUCACCGCAUGGUGUGUGGGUGGAAAGUUUUUCGGCUGGGGAUGGGCUCGCGGCCUAUCAGCUUGUUGGUGGGGUGAAGGCCCACCAAGGCGACGACGGGUAGCCGGCCUGAGAGGGCGACCGGCCACACUGGGACUGAGACACGGCCCAGACUCCUACGGGAGGCAGCAGUGGGGAAUAUUGCACAAUGGGCGAAAGCCUGAUGCAGCGACGCCGCGUGAGGGAUGACGGCCUUCGGGUUGUAAACCUCUUUCAGCUCCGAAGAAGCGAAAGUGACGGUAGGAGCAGAAGAAGCACCGGCUAACUACGUGCCAGCAGCC